CUGUUGAUGGACAUAGAGGCUGCUUCUAAGACUGAAUCCUGCUCUUCUACAGGAGUAACAGAGAUCCAUGGAAUUAAAAGAAUUGUCAUGGCUUAGAUCUACAACGUCACCCAGAAGUUUCCUGUGUUCAGAGCUGCCCAGGACUCUCCUCUGGAGAAGCCGUCUGUGCUCAGAUCAGCCUCAUCUCCUUGGCCUCCCGUCUCAGAAUCCCGCACUCCUGCAGUUGGAAAUACUAAGUCAGUGCUGGAAGCCCACGCCCAUCCCCUGGCUCUGGGCUUGGGGCCGAACCCUUCUUCCUGCUCGCUGUGGGCUGAAAGCAGCUGUUCUCUCCCAACCUCUUCUGAACCUCAGUUGCCAAUAUUGCAGUCCCGGGGGGCCCCUCAGGAGGCGGGGGGCAUGGGGACGCCCUAGCGCACCCUCCCAGGACUGGGUGAGCGCCGUGUGGGCAGUGGGUUUGUAGUGGGGCUGCCCUUCCUGCUUGUCUGUCCCCCACACGCCUGCCUGUCAUCCACGUCACCAACUGGCCCCAGAUGUUGGUGCCCUCAGCCUCUAGAACUGUGCCCCAAAGAAACGCCUUUGCUUUAUAAAUAAACCAGUCUCAGGUAUUCUGUGACCGUAACAGGGAAUGGACUAAGACACUUCAGUACCAUCUUCACCAGCCCAAUCGAGAGCCAGGCCAGCCCAUCCUUGCGUGCACGUGACAGCAGCAGUUUCUCAGCACCCACUGGGUCCUCUCGGAGCUCCAGAGCCCUGAGUAACUAAGGAGAGCCAAACAUGGGGCUCUUUAUGAAGGUAGCCCAGAGCUGGCCAGCAUGGACUAAAUACCACAGAAGCAACCAAGGGGGUCCCUAAGACACUGUACGGCAUAGCUAAUACAAAAUAAACGAUGAAAAUGUAAAACGUCACUGAGCUCUUACACUGGUACCAGCUCUCUGGGGUG